AACGCUCGUCGGGUGUAUAUAUAUUAACUAAUAUCUUCCCUUCUUCAACGCGCUUUCCCCUUAUUCCAAUUUGUCUCCUUUCUCUGUCAGAGAUAGAUCUAUUCUCUAUUUCUCUUCUAUGGAUUAAUUCUCAUAUUCAAAAUCUGCUUUUCCAAAAAAAUCCAGUAAAUCUCCUCCGGUAGAACGCCGUUUUGAUCGCCACCGCGAGAAUUUUCGUUUGUUUCGUUUUUUAAUUGAUUAGGGUUUCAAAGAGCACAGAACAAUGCCUUUGCUCCCCUUUGAAUUGAUGCUACUCCAUUUGAUUCCGUCGUUGGUCAUAUUCCAUGGUGGAUCCUCUAUACGUUUGAAAAAUCUUGAAAAGAGUGAUCGUCGUGGUAAUCUUAGUUAACAUUUAACCUUCUCUUUCUGUCGUUUCUUUCGCGUUUUUUUUGUCGUUUCGUUUUGAGGUUCUCUUUUAGGGGAAUAUCAGUUUGGUUUAUUUCUUAUCGUUUCGCGGGAAUUCGUUGAGAUUUUGGUCUUCCAAGGUUGUGAAAAGCAUUGUUUUGAGAGAAUUGCACCUUUCAACGACGUCGUUUAAGGUAAUAAUAGGUGAUUCAUAAAAUUUUGUUGUUGUUAUGUCCAAUUUUUUUUUAAUUUACUAUGUUUCGAGAUUUAUUUCCAGUAUGUAAUUAGAAUUAGGCGUUAGCUUUGGUUUACUAUUUUGUGUUUAAUUAGAAUUAGGCGUUAACUGGUUUACUAUUUUGUAUUUAAGCAGAAUUAGGAGUUAACUUCGGUUUAGUAUUUUGUAUUUAAUUACAAUUAGAAUUAGAAGUUAACUUUGGUCUAGCAUUUUGUAUCACAUCACACGCUUAAUAUCCUAGCAUUCAAAGUCUAUUUUCUCCUUCGCUUUGCUUAAAAUGCAUCAGACAUACUGUGAUUUGAUUUGAAUGAUUUGUUGGCGUACCAUUGUAUCUUGCAAUUUAAUUAUUUUGGUAACAAUUUCUACAUCCCAUCAAAUUUAUUGACACCACACAUAGUCACAUAAUUCGCUCAUACCUCUGAGUAACGAGAACCACUUCCCAAGAACUGAUGUGUGUUUCUUCUGCUUUCUGAAACACGGUGGGUUGCGAACCAGUAUGGUAAGACAUGACUCAGAAGCAGAACACAAAACACAAAGAAGAGAAAGAGCAAAAGCAUAAUAGGAGGUGAUUAACAAGAAGUGGCUCCCUUUGAAGUACGGAUUCGUCAAACACCCUCACGUGUCGGUGUCUGACACGGAUAGGGUCCCGAUUAGUUCUCAUCAACAUCAACGCUCGUCGGGUGUAUAUAUAUUAACUAAUAUCUUCCCUUCUUCAACGCGCUUUCCCCUUAUUCCAAUUUGUCUCCUUUCUCUGUCAGAGAUAGAUCUAUUCUCUAUUUCUCUUCUAUGGAUUAAUUCUCAUAUUCAAAAUCUGCUUUUCCAAAAAAAUCCAGUAAAUCUCCUCCGGUAGAACGCCGUUUUGAUCGCCACCGCGAGAAUUUUCGUUUGUUUCGUUUUUUAAUUGAUUAGGGUUUCAAAGAGCACAGAACAAUGCCUUUGCUCCCCUUUGAAUUGAUGCUACUCCAUUUGAUUCCGUCGUUGGUCAUAUUCCAUGGUGGAUCCUCUAUACGUUUGAAAAAUCUUGAAAAGAGUGAUCGUCGUGGUAAUCUUAGUUAACAUUUAACCUUCUCUUUCUGUCGUUUCUUUCGCGUUUUUUUUGUCGUUUCGUUUUGAGGUUCUCUUUUAGGGGAAUAU
rnacentral:lncRNA from 1 species